GGUGAAAAGACCCCUUCAGAAGGGAGUGAAAUAGAACCUGAAACCGUGCGCUUACAAGCAGUAGGAGUCACACUCUGUGUGAUGACUGCGUGCCUUUUGCUUAAUGAGCCUACGAGUUGCUCAUCACAUGCAAGGUUAAGACUCUCAGAGUCGGAUCCGUAGCGAAAGCGAGUCUGAAUAGGGCGAAUAGUGUGUGGUGGCAGACGCGAAACCGGGUGAUCUAUCCAUGGUCAGGAUGAAGCGUAGGUAACACUACGUGGAGGUCCGAACCAGUUCAAGUUGAAAAUUGUUUGGAUGAACUGUGGAUAGGGGUGAAAGGCCAAUCAAACUCGGUUAUAGCUCGUACUCCUCGAAAUGCAUUUAGGUGCAGCGUUAUAGUAGUGUGCCGGAGGUAGGGCGCUGAUUGGGCUAGGGCUGUCACCACGGUACCGAACCCAGAUAAACUUCAAAUUCCGGAUACAUGUUCUAUAGCAGUGAGGCUACGUGAGAUAAGUUUCGUAGCCGAGAGGGAAACAACCCAGACCAUCAGUUAAGGUCCCCAAGUAUAUACUAAUAGAUAAAGGAUGUUGCGAUGCUGAGACAGCCAGGAUGUUGGCUUAGAAGCAGCCAUUCAUUUAAAGAGUGC
rnacentral:rRNA from 1 species